rnacentral:rRNA from 1 species
UACAGAGGUGGCAAGCGUUGUUCGGAAUUACUGGGCGUAAAGGGCGCGUAGGCGGUUCGUUAAGUCCUGUGUGAAAUCCCCCGGCUCAACUGGGGAACUGCACAGAAAACUAGCGGGCUUGAGUUCGGGAGAGGGAAGCGGAAUUCCGGGUGUAGCGGUGAAAUGCGUAGAUAUCCGGAGGAACACCGGUGGCGAAGGCGGCUUCCUGGACCGACACUGACGCUGAGGCGCGAAAGCUAGGGGAGCAAACGGG